GUAGAGGUAGCUCGGUGUUAAGAGCUUCUUGUUUCAGAGGACCUGGGUUCGAUUCCCAGCACCCACA
rnacentral:tRNA from 1 species